GAUGAACGCUAGCUACAGGCUUAACACAUGCAAGUCGAGGGGAAACGGCAUUACGUGCUUGCACUUUUUGGACGUCGACCGGCGCACGGGUGAGUAACGCGUAUCCAACCUUCCCAUGACUAAGGGAUAACCUGCCGAAAGGCAGACUAAUACCUUAUGGUCUUCACUGACGGCAUCAGAUGUGAAGUAAAGAUUUAUCGGUUAUGGAUGGGGAUGCGUCUGAUUAGCUUGUUGGCGGGGUAACGGCCCACCAAGGCAACGAUCAGUAGGGGUUCUGAGAGGAAGGUCCCCCACAUUGGAACUGAGACACGGUCCAAACUCCUACGGGAGGCAGCAGUGAGGAAUAUUGGUGAAUGGGCGAGAGCCUGAACCAGCCAAGCAGCGUGCAGGAGGACGGCCCUAUGGGUUGUAAACUGCUUUUGUAUGGGGAUAAAGUCAAUCACGUGUGAUUGUUUGCAGGUACCAUACGAAUAAGGACCGGCUAAUUCCGUG
rnacentral:rRNA from 1 species